CCUACGGGUGGCAGCAGUAGGGAAUAUUGCUCAAUGGGGGAAACCCUGAAGCAGCAACGCCGCGUGGAGGAUGACGGUUUUAGGAUUGUAAACUCCUUUUUUUAGAGAAGUUUAUUACGGUAUCUAACUCAUAUGCACCGGCUAACUCCAUUCCAGAAGCCGCGGUAAUACGGAGGGUGCAAGCGUUACUCGGAAUCUCUGGGCGUAAAGGGUGCGUAGGGGGGGUAAUAAGUCAGAGGUGAAAUCCUGUAGCUUAACUACAGAAGUGCAUUUAAAACUGUACCACUGGAGGGUGUGAGCGGUAGGCGGAAUUUUUGGUGUAGGGGUAAAAUCCGUAGAGAUCAAGAGGAACACGCAUUGCGAAGGCGACUUGCUGGAACAUUACUGACGCUGAUGCACGAAAGCGUGGGGAGCAAACAGGAUUAGAUACCCCGGUAGUC
rnacentral:rRNA from 1 species